AACGAACGCUGGCGGCAGGCUUAACACAUGCAAGUCGAACGCCCCGCAAGGGAAGUGGCAGACGGGUGAGUAACGCGUGGGAAUCUACCCAAUUCUACGGAACAACACAGGGAAACUUGUGCUAAUACCGUAUACGCCCUACGGGGGAAAGAUUUAUCGGAAUUGGAUGAGCCCGCGUUGGAUUAGCUAGUUGGUGGGGUAAUGGCCUACCAAGGCGACGAUCCAUAGCUGGUCUGAGAGGAUGAUCAGCCACACUGGGACUGAGACACGGCCCAGACUCCUACGGGAGGCAGCAGUGGGGAAUAUUGGACAAUGGGCGAAAGCCUGAUCCAGCCAUGCCGCGUGAGUGAUGAAGGCCUUAGGGUUGUAAAGCUCUUUCGGUGGGGAAGAUAAUGACGGUACCCACAGAAGAAGCCCCGGCUAACUUCGUGCCAGCCGCCGCGGUAA
rnacentral:rRNA from 1 species